rnacentral:rRNA from 1 species
GACGAACGCUGGCGGCGUGCUUAACACAUGCAAGUCGAACGGAAAGGCCCGGCCUUGGUGGGGUGCUCGAGUGGCGAACGGGUGAGCAACACGUGAGUAACCUGCCAUUGACUGUGGGAUAACUUCAGGAAGCUGGGGCUAAUACCGGAUAGGAGCUCCUGCUGCAGGGUGGGGGUGGGAAAGUUUCGGCGGUUGGGGAUGGACUCGCGGCUUAUCAGCUUGUUGGUUGGGUAGUGGCUGAGCAAGGCUUGGACACGUAGCCGGCCUGGUCGGGUGACCGGCCCCGUUGGGCCUGGGCUGCGGCCCAGCCUCCUCCGCGACGCGGAGGUGCGGUAUAUUGUACUAUGGGCUGGACGCUGGUGCAGCCCCGCCGCGUGGCGGAUGUCGGCCAUCGCGUUGUAUUCCGCUUCCGUCUUUGCCGAAGCGUGAGUGACGGUACUGGGUGAAGAAGCACCGGCUAACUCCGUG